GAACAAAAUCUUAGAUGACAUCUUCAUUCGAACUCGAUGACAAACUUGAAUCUAAAUAUUACCAGAAUGCAUCACAUUCGUAGCCAAACUUUAAAGAGAAGAAAACUAAGAACAUGAUAUCCAGGAUAUUAGUUGACGCUUUUAAAGUAUUUUGUACUGACUUCCGAUUUACUUUAUAUUCAUUACGUCAAAGUCUUAAUCGGGAACCGUUUAACACAUAAAUUGAAUAUUGGAAGUCCUGUACACUAUGUGUGAGUAGAUAUGAUCUUAUAAAAUGUAAAAUGGACUGUGAGUAUUGGAUUUAGUCUGAGGAGUGCCAUAUUAUCCGAAGAAAGGAUCAAUUUUAAACCUAUCACUUACAACAUUUAAAUACAGAAAUAAUGGUUAACAAAAAGUCUUCUCAUUAGAAGACUAGAAAUUUGGAAACUGAACAAAAUCUUAGAUGACAUCUUCAUUCGAACUCGAUGACAAACUUGAAUCUAAAUAUUACCAGAAUGCAUCACAUUCGUAGCCAAACUUUAAAGAGAAGAAAACUAAGAACAUGAUAUCCAGGAUAUUAGUUGACGCUUUUAAAGUAUUUUGUACUGACUUCCGAUUUACUUUAUAUUCAUUACGUCAAAGCCUUAACCGGAAACCGUUUAACACAUAAAUUGAAUAUUGAAAGUCCUGUACAUUAUGUGUGAGUAAAUAUGAUCUUAUAAAAUGUAAAAUGGACUGUGAGUAUUGGAUUUAGUCUGAGGAGUACCAUAUUAUCCGAAGAAAGGAUCAAUUUUAAACUUAUCACUUACAACAUUUAAAUACAGAAAUAAUGGUUAACAAAAAGUCUUCUCAUUAGAAGACCAGAAAUUUGGAAACUUAACAAAAUAUUAGAUGACAUCUUCAUUCGAACUCGAUGACAAACUUGAAUCUAAAUAUUACCAGAAUGCAUCACAUUCGUAGCCAAACUUUAAAGAGAAGAAAACUAAGAACAUGAUAUCCAGGAUAUUAGUUGACGCUUUUAAAGUAUUUUGUACUGACUUCCGAUUUACUUUAUAUUCAUUACGUCAUAGUCUUAAUCGGGAACCGUUUAACACAUAAAUUGAAUAUUGGAAGUCCUGUACACUAUGUGUGAGUAAAUAUGAUCUUAUAAAAUGUAAAAUGGACUGUGAGUAUUGGAUUUAGUCUGAGGAGUGCCAUAUUAUCCGAAGAAAGGAUCAAUUUUAAACUUAUCACUUACAACAUUUAAAUACAGAAAUAAUGGUUAACAAAAAGUCUUCUCAUUAGAAGACUAGAAAUUUGGAAACUGAACAAAAUCUUAGAUGACAUCUUCAUUCGAACUCC